GGAAGGACAGGCUGUCCCCUGGACGACCCCCCCCCCCCCCCCGCCUCCACCUCCGAAGUAAAGGCACCCUCGCUCUCUCAGCGGUAGGUCUGGCCCCGCUGACACCCAGCGCUAAGGGAGGGGGGAACGCGCUCACCAGGCCGGCCUGUCGAGGCAGGGAGCGGGCAAAGGAGGCAGCCAUGCGGGUGGAGAACAUGACGAUAACAACGACAGCUCCUUCAGGGAAGACCGAAGCAGACAGAAGACAAAACAGACACCUACA